AUGAUUCAAACUAAGGCCCAUUCAAUCACCCAUCCAAAGCAAAUAGCCAUGCUGACUGUUCCAUAUUUACCAACACUUGAAAUAUCAAUAACAAUAAUAUACAAAGGGAAAGAUGAUAAACGAUGCGCUUUUCUUGAGAGGAUAGGGUUCAAGUCAUCAUGGCCUCUCAUUUUCUGCAGGGUUUACCGAUCGGAGUCCGUCCGAUGCGGCUUUAAUGGCGGCUAUGAUGAGAGAAAACCAGCGGGAGCUUUGGGAUUCAGGGCAGCUAGUACGUUACCUUACGAUAUGCUGAAGCUUGGCAUGAAUACACUAGAGACGAAGUCUAGACAUUAG